rnacentral:rRNA from 1 species
GACGUAGGGCGCGAGCGUUGUCCGGAUUUAUUGGGCGUAAAGAGCUCGUAGGCGGCUCGUUGCGUCGGCUGUGAAAACCCGCAGCUCAACUGUGGGCUUGCAGCUGAUACGGGCGGGCUGGAGUUCGGUAGGGGAGACUGGAAUUCCUGGUGUAGCGGUGGAAUGCGCAGAUAUCAGGAGGAACACCAAUAGCGAAGGCAGCUCGCUGGGACGGUACUGACGCUGAGACGCGAAAGCGUGGGGAGCAAACAGG